rnacentral:misc_RNA from 1 species
GAAAUGCGAUAAGUAAUGUGAAUUGCAGAAUUCAGUGAAUCAUCGAAUCUUUGAACGCACAUUGCGCCCCCUGGUAUUCCGGGGGGCAUGCCUGUUCGAGCGUCAUUUCACCACUCAAGCCUCGCUUGGUAUUGGGCAACGCGGUCCGCCGCGUGCCUCAAAUCGACCGGCUGGGUCUUCUGUCCCUUAAGCGUUGUGGAAACUAUUCGCUAAAGGGUGUUCGGGAGGCUACGCCGUAAAACAACCCCAUUUCUAAGGUUGACCUCGGAUCAGGUAGGGAUACCCGCUGAACUUAAGC